UUGUGUGAGGCGUGAUGCAUAGCCCUUGUGGGGUGAAUUCGGUGAUCCUGUACUGUCGAGGAAAGCCUCUAGCGAUGUGCAUAUUCGGCCCGUACCUAAACCGACACAGGUAGUCAGGUAGAGAAUACUAAGGCGUUCGGGUGAACUGUGGUUAAGGAACUCGGCAAAAUGCCCCCGUAACUUCGGGAGAAGGGGGGCCCAGAUCGGUGACGCACUUUUCGUGUUGAGCUGGUGUGGGUCGCAGAGAAUAGAGGGAAGCGACUGUUUACUAAAAACACAGGUCCGUGCGAAGACGUUUAAGUUGAUGUAUACGGACUGACGCCUGCCCGGUGCUGGAAGGUUAAGAGGACCGGUUAGCCCUUCGGGGCGAAGCUGAGAAUUUAAGCCCCAGUAAACGGCGGUGGUAACUAUAACCAUCCUAAGGUAGCGAAAUUCCUUGUCGGGUAAGUUCCGACCUGCACGAAUGGCGUAACGACUUCCCUGCUGUCUCAACCACAGGCCCGGUGAAAUUGCAGUACGAGUAAAGAUGCUCGUUACGCGCGGCAGGACGAAAAGACCCCGGGACCUUCACUAUAGCUUGGUAUUGGUGUUUGAUUCGGUUUGUGUAGGAUAGGUGGGAGACUUCGAUCAUGUGACGCUAGUUGUGUGUGAGUCGUUGGUGAAAUACCACUCUGAUCGGAUUGAAUACCUUAACCUUGGCCCAUGAUCUGGGUUGGGGACAGUGCCUGGUGGGUAGUUUAACUGGGGCGGUUGCCUCCUAAAAUGUAACGGAGGCGCCCAAAGGUUUCCUCAGCCUGGUUGGUAAACAGGUGGUGAGUGUAAGUGCACAAGGGAGCUUGACUGUGAGAGUGACAGCUCGAGCAGGGACGAAAGUCGGGACUAGUGAUCCGGCACCUACUUGUGGUUGUGGUGUCGCUCAACGGAUAAAAGGUACCCCGGGGAUAACAGGCUGAUCUUCCCCAAGAGUCCAUAUCGACGGGAUGGUUUGGCACCUCGAUGUCGGCUCGUCGCAUCCUGGGGCUGGAGUAGGUCCCAAGGGUCGGGCUGUUCGCCCAUUAAAGCGGUACGCGAGCUGGGUUUAGAACGUCAUGAGACAGUUCGGUCUCUAUCCGCCGCGCGCGUUGAAACUUAAGGAAGGCUGUCCCUAGUACGAGAGGACCGGGACGGACGUACCUCUGGUGUGCCAGUUGUUCCGCCAGGAGCAGGGCUGGUUGGCUACGUACGGAAGGGAUAACCGCUGAAAGCAUCUAAGCGGGAAGCCUGUUUCGAGAUGAGGUUUCUUUUGAGGUUCCCUAUAGAUUAUGGGGUUGAUAGGCCAGAUCUGGACGCACUGUAAGGUGUGGAGGUGACUGGUACUAAUUUACCGACACG
rnacentral:rRNA from 1 species